rnacentral:rRNA from 1 species
GACGAACGCUGGCGGCGUGCUUAACACAUGCAAGCCGAACGGAAAGGCCUGCUUUCCCUUGUGGAUUGCGGGUACUCGAGUGGCGAACGGGUGAGUAACACGUGAGUGAUCUGCCCCCAACUUGGGUAUAAGCCUGGGAAACUGGGUCUAAUUCCCGAUAGGACUGCAGGGUGGUGCCUGUGGUGGAAAACGAUUUUCUAGUGGUUGGGGAUGAGCUCGCGGCCUAUCAGCUUGUUGGUGGGGUAAUGGCCUACCAAGGCGGCGACGGGUAGCCGGCCUGAGAGGGUGGACGGCCACAUUGGGACUGAGAUACGGCCCAGACUCCUACGGGAGGCAGCAGUGGGGAAUAUUGCACAAUGGGCGGAAGCCUGAUGCAGCGACGCCGCGUGGGGGAUGACGGCCUUCGGGUUGCAAACUCCUUUCGACCGCGAGGAAGCCACCUGGUUGGAAGGGUGGUGACGGUAGUGGUAGAAGAAGCACCGGCUAACUACGUG